GAUGAACGCUGGCGGCGUGCCUAAUACAUGCAAGUCGAGCGAACGGACGAGAAGCUUGCUUCUCUGAUGUUAGCGGCGGACGGGUGAGUAACACGUGGAUAACCUACCUAUAAGACUGGGAUAACUUCGGGAAACCGGAGCUAAUACCGGAUAAUAUUUUGGACCGCAUGGUUCAAAAGUGAAAGACGGUCUUGCUGUCACUUAUAGAUGGUUCCGUGCUGCAUUAGCUAGUUGGUAAGGUAACGGCUUACCAAGGCAACGAUGCAUAGUCGACCUGAGAGGGUGAUCGGCCACACUGGAACUGAGACACGGUCCAGACUCCUACGGGAGGCAGCAGUAGGGAAGCUUCCGCAAUGGGCGAAAGCCUGACGGAGCAACGCCGCGUGAGUGAUGAAGGUCUUCGGAUCGUAAAACUCUGUUAUUAGGGAAGAACAUAUGUGUAAGUAACUGUGCACAUCUUGACGGUAGCUAAUCAGAAAGCCACGGCUAACUACGUG
rnacentral:rRNA from 1 species